rnacentral:rRNA from 1 species
GACCUCAAAUCAGGUAGGACUACCCGCUGAACUUAAGCAUAUCAAUAAGCGGAGGAAAAGAAACUAACAAGGAUUCCCCUAGUAACUGCGAGUGAAGCGGGAAAAGCUCAAAUUUAAAAUCUGUCAGUCUUUGGCUGUCCGAGUUGUAAUCUAGAGAAGUGUUAUCCGCGCUGGACCGUGUACAAGUCUCCUGGAAUGGAGCGUCAUAGAGGGUGAGAAUCCCGUCUUUGACACGGACUACCAGGGCUUUGUGAUGCGCUCUCAAAGAGUCGAGUUGUUUGGGAAUGCAGCUCAAAAUGGGUGGUAAAUUCCAUCUAAAGCUAAAUAUUGGCGAGAGACCGAUAGCGAACAAGUACCGUGAGGGAAAGAUGAAAAGAACUUUGGAAAGAGAGUUAAACAGUACGUGAAAUUGCUGAAAGGGAAACGCUUGAAGUCAGUCGCGUUGUCCAGGGAUCAACCUUGCUUUUGCCUGGUGUACUUUCUGGUUGACGGGUCAGCAUCAAUUUUGAUUAUUGGAAAAAGACUAAGGGAAUGUGGCAUCUUUGGAUGUGUUAUAGCCCUUGAUUGCAUACAAUAGUUGGGAUUGAGGAACUCAGCACUCCUGCAAGACCGGGU